UAGUGUGUAACUAAAAACUUAUGACUCUUAUAUCUGAAUCAUUCCAUUGCAUGUUUUCAGGUUUUUGUUGGCCAAAGAUAACUGGAACCUUGGGUAAGGAGGGCAUCGCAUAAGAAAACCCACUAGAGGCACACAUCAUGGUUCAUAGCCCUGUGCCUGGCACAGUGAGACCACAGUGUUUAAUAAAUGAUUGUUCACUCAUUAGAAAACCAGAGGGACCAAAGAAAGCAAGAGGAAGAAGAUGCCUGGAUGGCAACCAACCUCAUACAGGGACUCACGCUAAUGACUAAAGGCUCUGAGAAUUCCUGCAAUGAGGAAGUGUGCUUUGGACCAAUUCUCUGUGCUCUGAGAUUGCUAAUACCACCAGCCUCAUGGACUCUGCCACAAAGACGACUCAGAAACACCCCAUGA
rnacentral:lncRNA from 1 species